rnacentral:rRNA from 1 species
UCCAGACUCCUACGGGAGGCAGCAGUGGGGAAUAUUGGACAAUGGGGGGAACCCUGAUCCAGCGACGCCGCGUGAGUGAAGAAGUAUUUCGGUAUGUAAAGCUCUAUCAGCAGGGAAGAAGAAGUGACGGUACCUGACCAAGAAGCCCCGGCUAACUACGUGCCAGCAGCCGCGGUAAUACGUAGGGGGCAAGCGUUAUCCGGAUUUACUGGGUGUAAAGGGAGCGCAGGCGGCGUGGCAAGUCAGAUGUGAAAACCCGGGGCCCAACCCCGGGAGUGCAUUUGAAACUGCCAUGCUGGAGUGCCGGAGAGGUAAGCGGAAUUCCUAGUGUAGCGGUGAAAUGCGUAGAUAUUAGGAGGAACACCAGUGGCGGAGGCGGCUUACUGGACGGUAACUGACGCUGAGGCUCGAAAGCGUGGGGAGCAAACAGGAUUAGAUACCCGAGUA